rnacentral:lncRNA from 1 species
GAUAAACUGUGGGUAUGAAAAUAUAUCAAACUCAAUUGCUUAUCUAUAUAUAUUUCGAUCAGAAGGUGAUGAUUCAGUUGAUGAUAUAUUAAAAAUCCCUUUCUAAUUAUCAUCCUGCUUUGGCCAAAGACUUUCAGAACCAUCAACCUAUGAGAUCACAUAGGAUGUUUGCUCUACUUAUUAAAAGUAAGUGAUCCCUUAUUGAUCACUCACAACCUCCAUACACACUUCACUAUAUCCAGAACACCCCA